AAUAUCCUAAGUUGGAACUGCCAAGGGGGUGGGAACUCUCGGACAGUUCGUGAUCUUGUGAGUUUGGUGCAGGCUCAGUCCCCUAGUAUUGUUUUUCUUUGUGAGACUAGGCAGUCUAAAAAUAAAAUGAAGAGGUACCGUGCUCGGUUAGGUUUAAGAGGUUUUGAUGCUUUCGAUUGUGUGGGUCGUAGUCGAGGUCUUGCUUUGCAUUGGCAUGAGUCUGUGAGUCGUGAUGUAAAAGAAAUAAAUGAACGAUAUAUUGACGCGUAUGUACCCUGGCGGCUCACCUGCGUCUAUGGCGAGCCCCGAAUGGAGGACCGUCAUCGCAUGUGGUCCCUCCUCCGUAAUCUCCACCAGCAGGCCAGCAUGCCUUGGGUCGUGGUGGGUGAUUUCAACGAGGCAAUGUGGAGUUUUGAGCACUUCUCCGACACACAGCGCUCGGCAGGUCAGAUGCUUGAUUUUCGUGAUGUUCUUGAGGUUUGUGGUCUGGGCGACCUCGGUUUUGUAGGUCUCCCAUACACCUUUGAUAACCGGCGAGGUGGAGGGGAAAACGUCAAGGUUCGCCUUGACCGUGCUGUGGCUAACAAUGCCUGGAGGGAUGUUUCCGCCCAUGCAAGGGUGGAGCAUUUGGUGGCGCCAAGCUCCGAUCACUUGGCCAUCCUCCUCAAGUGCACGCUAGAGGAGCCGCGCCAACGGGGAGCAGAAGGUGCAGACAGUACGAGGUUAUGUGGGAACGAGACCCCUCCCUCCCUGAGGUAA
rnacentral:rRNA from 1 species